GCCGAAGUGGUGGAAUGGCAGACGCGAUGGACUCAAAAUCCAUUGUUGGAGACAACGUGUGGGUUCAAGUCCCACCUUCGGCACCA
rnacentral:tRNA from 1 species